rnacentral:rRNA from 1 species
CUACGUGCCAGCAGCCGCGGUAAUACGGAAGGUCCAGGCGUUAUCCGGAUUUAUUGGGUUUAAAGGGAGUGUAGGCGGUCUGUUAAGCGUGUUGUGAAAUUUAGGUGCUCAACAUUUAACUUGCAGCGCGAACUGGCGGACUUGAGUGCACGCAACGUAUGCGGAAUUCAUGGUGUAGCGGUGAAAUGCUUAGAUAUCAUGACGAACUCCGAUUGCGAAGGCAGCGUACGGGAGUGUUACUGACGCUUAAGCUCGAAGGUGCGGGUAUCGAACAGGAUUAGAUACCCUGGUAGUCCGCACGGUAAACGAUGGAUGCCCGCUGUUAGCGCCUGGCGUUAGCGGCUAAGCGAAAGCAUUAAGCAUCCCACCUGGGGAGUACGCCGGCAACGGUGAAACUCAAAGGAAUUGACGGGGGCCCGCACAAGCGGAGGAACAUGUGGUUUAAUUCGAUGAUACGCGAGGAACCUUACCCGGGCUUGAAUUGCAGACGCAGGAUACAGAGAUGUUGA